GCCCUCAUGCUCCUCAGUACCACACUUUAUCUAUGUGACAGUCUCCUAUGUCGCUCCCUCACCUAUAUGGCCUCUUGCAUGAUACGAGACUCCCUGAUGGAUAAUAUUGUCCGUGGCAUACUCAAAAUGUGUUGUAGUCUCCUCAAUGGACUGAAAUUGGAUCAUAUCAUCAUUCAUAUAUACGGCUAAGGAAAUACAUAGACUAAAUGUCGGAAGUCUAGAAUUGAGAAUGUAGAGGCAAUAUAUCGUCGGCUAUCUCAUCUGCAUAGAUCAAGAGGUGCUCCCUGUUGGAUUUUGGUGCCUCGAAUUCAACCCACAGCAGUCCAAGAAGGAAAAGCCCAC
rnacentral:lncRNA from 1 species